AAAGCUCCGUAUCAAUUCCAUUUCCAUAGUAAUCUAGAAGCUGAUAAAAAGGUGUUGGAUAGGAGAAUGAAAAUGAGGAUGAUUCCUCUUAACUUACUACUUUUACUACACAUGAAAAACCAGGUGCGGUAAUUGCCUCUUCUUUUAGCCUUUUCACAGUAAAAAAAAAAAAAAAAAAAACAUAAGGGAAGAGAAGGUUUCACUUUCGACCUUUCAGUUCCUGGGUGGAGCCAGCCACAAUAAGUUGUGACUUGUGAGAAUUGUCAGCGACUGAAGAUGGGUUUUGGUCUUCGGAUCUUGGUUUCAAUCCUAGUUGUCUUCCUUCUCCUCCAAACUCUCAACGCCACAUCUUCAUCAAGCGGUCGAAGGCCACUAGCUCGGAACAAGAACCGUCAGAUCCCACCCAACUGCACCCACUUAGUGUCGGAGUCUCAGUGCUCCCACAACCCGCAGUGCCGAUGGUGCAAAAGCCAGUCUCUCGACGACUCCUGUUUCGCUAGAUCCGAGGCUUGGCGCUUGCCCCUUCAGGUCUUCUCUUGUGACCAAUGAUUUUUCAAAAUCCCAAUUCAACGGAUUUUUUUUUAUAAGGAAAAGCUUUUCUUUUUCUUUUUCUUUUCAUGUUAAAGAUUGGGUUGGAAAUGAAAAAAAAAUUUGAUCAUUUCUUAUACUAAUUCUGUUUGGUUUGUGAGAGAAUGUCACUAAACUCUGACAAAAGAAAUUCAUUUGGGUUUGGGUUUGGGUUUGGAAUGGAAUCUCUGAUUUUUGUGUAAUCCUUUUUUAUUAUUAUUAUUAUUAAUUGAGUCUAUUAAUCAAAUUACUUAAAUUUUGCAUUUUGAGAACUUCAUAUUGCAUAAAGUCCAGAGUUGUUGUUGUUGAUGUGUUUUAUGUAAAUUGUGUGUUAUGGAACCAACACUUCUGUCUAUUGAGUGAGAAAAGCCGCAUGAUACUCCAUAUUUUUAUCGCUGAAGAAUUUGUUCAAUAAGGUGAAAAUGUAGACCGAUACUGUUAGACGUAGUAGUGUCUAUUGGCUCCGAGCUCUUCCUCACCAGUUGAAACUUGCCAUUGCAUUUGCUAAGGUCAUGCCGUAUUCAUCUUUUAUCAGAAAGAAGCAAAAUUUAAACAUUGAAGAGUCUAAGGCUGAAGUUGUAUAUGCCCUGUACUCUCAUAAAUUUGUGAACACUAUAUUAUCUUGUGUUCGUGAUCAGCAUACAUUCUGAUUGGCGUCGACAACAGACAGUUAUCACUUUCCCAUUGAUCAUGGCAAUCUGGUUCUUUUUCCAUAGGCAGCGGUUAUCUGCAGGUGCGUGCUAGCCGAUGCCCAAGACAAGGGUUGUACCGGUGGUACCGCAAGUGAUGCCACCCUAUUAAUCAUACUGGGAAGAAGAAUCGCUUUUGUGCAUUAAAGCCUUACUCCACUCCACAUUUGUACUAGUCCAUGAUACUCCUAUUUUGUGACUAGAGUAUGGUAUUACAAGCAACCAAACAGGUCCUUUAGAAAUUAAGAUCCUAUCCAGAGCAUCAGCCUCACUUUUCUGGCAUAAAUUUACCCCAGAAUUUCCUCAGGUGUUUCUCAUGGCUGAGCCAUUCUAGCAGUCUGCUACCUUGUUCUUUGUCAAGUCACUGGUGAUGCUACUUAAUUCCAACUAAGUUAAUUUUUUAUACUUAAUUUAAUAUCUUCCUACAA